AGUAUCCUUGUUUCUCCACUUGAUCUUGGACCUAUUUGCCUAACAGGAGUCGCCAGCGUCCAGUGCUUCCCGCCGUCAGUAGUUGCAGGCUUGAAUAGUCCUCCUGAAGUGAAUGGGACACAUACAGCUUUGGUUCCACUGUGCCACUGAAUAAAUACGACUCAAAAAGCAUGGGAGGAUUAACACAGAGUGCUUGCCUGGUGUGGUACGGAAGAGAAGAUCAUCAUAGGACAUCACAGACAGAUCCAUUUCAGCAUUUGCCUUAUUCAAAUAGGCUCUGAAAUUUACAGGCAAACGAAAGAGAUUCAUAAGCUAUGUAUUGCCUGAUAUCCCAUAGUACACCUGGGAUGCCUCACUGCAAUGGGUAUGUCUCUCUCUUCAUCGACUGUAAGAGGAAUCAAACGAGACUAGUUGACUCUUUGGAUGUUUUCCACAAUGACCUGGGUGCCUGUCUUGGCCAGAGUGAGCAGAGAUUGGUCUUUCCAUCCAUGACACCUGCAAAGCAACAUCUGUAAGAGCUUUUUGCACUUGCCUGGCUUGUUUAGGCAACAGGGGAGAGAGGGAAGGAUGAGUGUUUUAGGCCUGGUCUUUCUAUCGCCUUUGUGAAAACACAGUACAUUAAGAAAGGGACACACUCACAAGACACCUACACCAAAGACAAUGGGUAAAGCAGCAAGAACCAGGGACUCUGUGUCAGAAGGACUUGCAACAAAGCUAAGGCCAGUGCAAAGAGGAAGAGGAGAAGGCUUUGGGGGGACCUAAUAGCAGCCUUCCAAUGCCCACAUGGUCAUCACAAAGUCACUGUUCACAGUGGUGCAUUGUGGGGGGCAGAAAGACGGGGGGCAGAAAGACAGUGGGCAUAAAGCAAAACAAGAGAGGUUCAGAAUGAACAUGAGGAGAAAGCUUUUCUCUAUGAGGGCAGUCAAAGAGUGGAAGAGAGUGCCCAGAGAGGUGCAGAAUCCAUCCUUGAAGAUUUUCAAGACCCGCUUGGAUAAAGUCUGGAGCAACCUCAUGGGUGACCCUGCUUUGAGCAGGGGGCUGGACACUGGAGGUCCCUUCUGCCCGGAAUUAUCCCAUGAUUCUAUAAAGUGCUAUACAUAUAUGAAAGGCAUAGGGUGGCCAGAAAGUCCAGGAGACCAUGGUCCUGCAUCCCAGAGGUCACUCUGCUUUGUCAUCCAGUUGUUCCUGUCUAGUUGUGGAAAGAUAGCUAAGAAAGGCACAUAUAGCUCAGGUCUUCACUUGCAUGAACGUGAGUCCUUGUUGUCAUAGAUAUGCUUAAUGUCUGAUAAUGCUUCUCUGUCUUUUUUGCCCUGGAGUAAAGGAGCAUGCCCUGAGAAGCCACAGAUUUACCUCCGAGUGAAAGACAACGCCUAGUAAUUAACUUUAUUGCAUCCUUGUGUAGAUUUCACUCAGAGCUGUAAAGGAGAAUAAUAACUUGGCACUUCCUGCCGCACAUCCUCGCAGAGACUUGCAGGAUAAAACCUGCGUCUGAUAUGGAUGCUGACCUGGAUUAGUGGAAGAACCUGAGCUACCAGCCUUUCCCGGAUCCUUUCAUAUAGCGUCCUGGAACUGCAUAUUUGGGCAGUGAAACCUGACUUCUGUCCAAAGAACAUGCAAGGUAGAAAGGAGAGAACUAAAACAACAUAGACAUGCUAGCUUAGUGCCACAUAGAAACACCUUCAUCUUCGGCAUAGCUGAGGUCAUUAAUGAAAAUAAAAUGCCUGGACAGAGCUAGGUAACUGUAACAUUACAAGUCUUUUUACUUUUCUAUUCUUAGUUAUAAAAUUCUGGUAAUUUCCCAAUAGCUGAAUGUAUUGAAUUCAAUGUAAUACUUCUGAAAGGUACUGCCUGAGAGGCUGACUUUGUAAACUAAGAAAACCCAAAGAAAGUAGCAGUGAAGGCAUCUCUCCUAAUUGAUUCAAGAGUUUCCGGACCAACAAUUCCUUUGACCAAAUUUCCCAUACGAUUUCUGUGCACUAACAGUGAGGGGUUAUCUCCACACAUUUCACAGAGGGAGCUGAUCACAAGGGUAAAUGCUUAGUAUUUGCUGCAGAUUAGUGUAAGAAAGGCAAAGAAAAAAAUGCUGCUUCUUCUUGUUAGUGGUAGUUGUGUGUCUGAUCCAUCUUUAAUGAAUUUUUAGCUAACUGCUUACUAAGAGAUAAUACAUGUCAGACCUGCAGCUACAAUUUAUGCCUGCAGUUCCACUGCCUUUACUGGAGCUUCCCCUGCUCUCCCCAGCUGAGUAUUUGACCCCUUGAAGUUCUGAGAGGAAGUAUAUUAUAUUUUUCAGCUGGAAAAGUGGACCCAAAUCUUUCAGUCCUGGGCUCUGAGCCAAACAGCAUAGCUUUAGCCUUUCCCACAUUCAGCGACUACUUGCAUUUCAAUAGCAAAGCCUGGAAACUGUCAAAAACUGCUCUGGAGGUGGAUCUGGUCCUUGUCUACAGCUACAUUACUGACACGUAUAUCAGUACUUUCAAUAUACUUACAGUCAAAUGGCUUUAAAGACUGUGGAAACUUGUAUAUACAUCUUUUAACAAGAGGAAAACAGAUGUCCUUACAGUUGGUAAUAUGGGAAUCAAUGUACUCUAUCUGUGUCACCCUUAGCUGCAGGUCAUUUGAAAAUUGGUCUGGAAAAAAGGGCUGUUUUUUCAUGACACAUGUAAAUGGUUUGUAAACAAAGACCAUCAGCAAAGUUAAAACGCACUGUGUCUUCAUGAGCUGGAAAUACACUGCCUUUGCAUGGGCCUCAUGCUGCUCAGGCCCAUUGGUGAGCCUACAGGGAGUUCAAUUUUCCUGGUGUUGAUCAUGUGGAUGGUACAGAGUAACUGUGAUUUCUGCAGUAAGAAAGAACAGAUUUUUUUUAUUACUUCUGCUUCGACUUCAGGACCUUGAUUUCUAGCUGAGCAUUCUAAAAUUAGGAACAUAAUUCCAUAGGAGUAUAAAUCCGCAGCUAAACUCCAACAGAAGAAAAGGUCUGGCGCAGCUUAUCACUUGCCUUGCUGUCAGCUGCAGGGCGUACAUCACAGGAGAGGUGUAUGUCAGGUAGGAGUGCAGAAAAAGGCCCCCAAAGCAGCUUUUUGAAUGUUCACGGAGAACUGGAUGUCACUGGAGAAAGUGCGAUUGCAUCUGAGAGAGAAACGGACACUUUCAAUUAUAAGUUUGAUCGAGGCUUUUAGAGUGAAAUCCCCAACUUUUCUAAGUCAGCAGGAAUUUUGCCAUUGACAUCCCCAGAGCCUCCGUCGUCACUGGCGUUCCUAAUCCAUUUUCAUGCCCGCUAAAAUUACGGUAAGUGAGGCAGGAUUGCCAUCCACGUUACAGGCCUUGGGGAGAUCCCAACUGUAUGAGGAGGAAUCAGCUCAUUUGUGAAGGUCAAAAUUGCUGUCUAAAUAAUUAGUGUUCACUGUUACGGCUGUUCUAUGUAAAAGCACAUCCUGGGCUUGAAGCAUUGUGGCCUUGGCACCUAAUGCUCUUGCCACCAUAUAUCUCAUAUUUAUAUAUCCUAUUUUCUCUCUCUCUCUCUCUCUCUCGAUAUAUGUAUAUUAUAUAUACAUGCAGAUAUAUUUAUGUUUUUUAUAUGUUUAUAUUUUUAUAUAUAUCUCAUAUUUAUAUAUCUCAUAUUUUUAUAUCUCAUAUUUUUAUCUCUCCUAUGCCUCUGUCUCCUGUUUGCACAGACUGCC